CCUACGGGUGGCAGCAGUGGGGAAUAUUGGACAAUGGGCGAAAGCCUGAUCCAGCCAUGCCGCGUGUGUGAAGAAGGCCUUCGGGUUGUAAAGCACUUUCAGUGGGGAAGAAAGCCUUGGGGCUAAUACCCUCGAGGAAGGACAUCACCCACAGAAGAAGCACCGGCUAACUCCGUGCCAGCAGCCGCGGUAAUACGGAGGGUGCGAGCGUUAAUCGGAAUUACUGGGCGUAAAGCGCGCGUAGGCGGUCUGAUAAGCCGGUUGUGAAAGCCCCGGGCUCAACCUGGGAACGGCAUCCAGAACUGUCAGGCUAGAGUGCAGGAGAGGAAGGUAGAAUUCCCGGUGUAGCGGUGAAAUGCGUAGAGAUCGGGAGGAAUACCAGUGGCGAAGGCGGCCUUCUGGACUGACACUGACGCUGAGGUGCGAAAGCGUGGGUAGCAAACAGGAUUAGAUACCCUAGUAGUC
rnacentral:rRNA from 1 species